AACGAACGCUGGCGGCAUGCCUAACACAUGCAAGUCGAACGAACCCUUCGGGGUUAGUGGCGCACGGGUGCGUAACGCGUGGGAAUCUGCCCUUUGCUUCGGAAUAACAGUUAGAAAUGACUGCUAAUACCGGAUGAUGUCUUCGGACCAAAGAUUUAUCGGCAAAGGAUGAGCCCGCGUAGGAUUAGGUAGUUGGUGGGGUAAAGGCCUACCAGGCCGACGAUCCUUAGCUGGUCUGAGAGGAUGAUCAGCCACACUGGGACUGAGACACGGCCCAGACUCCUACGGGAGGCAGCAGUGGGGAAUAUUGGACAAUGGGCGCAAGCCUGAUCCAGCAAUGCCGCGUGAGUGAUGAAGGCCUUCGGGUCGUAAAGCUCUUUUACCAGGGAUGAUAAUGACAGUACCU
rnacentral:rRNA from 1 species